GCUGAGAGGAGGCGAGAGGCGGGGGCGCUAGGGCCGAGAUCAUGUCUGACUGGGAGAGGUUUCCUUGGCAGCAGAGGACGCUAGGUUUGGGAUGAAAGAAGCUGGGCAGAUGCAAAAUCUGGAGAGCGCGAGGGCCGGGCGGUCAGUCAGCACCCAGACUGGCAGCAUGACCGGUGAGUGUCCGGGACCCUGCUCCCGCCACCCUACCUUUCGCUCUGCCCUGUGCGUCUCCCGUCAUUGAACUCCAGAUUCCUUGUCUGAGCCUCUUUGCCUCCCCUGCUGCUUUUGGAUGUCUCCUGCCCGCCCUCUGCGUGUCCCCUCCGCGGUCGCCAGGACCAAUCGGCUCGGUCGCACUGGCUUUUGAAGUCUCGCUUUUUACCCCUGUUAGCUACUUCUCACAGGACCUAGAGCUGGGGCCUCUGAGGUCAAAGAGCCUGAACAUUUCCAAACGGCGCUUUUGCCUUGAUUUCCAAAUUAACCGCACGUGACGCUUUCCUGUAUUUCGACUGCUUUACCGUCGAAGGUCAGAUACCAAGGCUUUCUAAAGUCAACCUUUUCACUCUGCUCAGCCUCUGGAUGGAGCUCUUUCCAGCAGAAGCCCAGCGGCAAAAAUCUCAGAAAAAUGAAGAGGGAAAGCAUGGACCCUUAGGAGAUAAUGAAGAGAGGACCAGAGUAUCUACUGACAAAAGACAGGUAAAGAGAACUGGUCUUGUGGUGGUGAAAAACAUGAAAAUUGUUGGUCUCCACUGUUCUAGUGAAGAUUUACAUGCCGGGCAGAUUGCUCUUAUUAAACAUGGGUCAAGGCUGAAAAACUGUGAUCUUUAUUUUUCCAGAAAACCAUGUUCUGCUUGUUUGAAAAUGAUUGUAAAUGCUGGAGUUAACCGAAUUUCAUACUGGCCUGCUGAUCCAGAAAUAAGUUUGCUUACGGAGGCUUCUAGUUCUGAAGAUGCAAAGUUAGAUGCCAAAGCAGUGGAAAGAUUGAAGUCAAACAGUCGGGCCCAUGUGUGUGUCUUACUUCAACCUUUGGUGUGUUAUAUGGUGCAGUUUGUAGAGGAGACCUCUUACAAAUGUGACUUUAUUCAAAAAAUUACAAAAACAUUGCCGGAUGCUAACACUGACUUUUAUUAUGAAUGUAAACAAGAAAGAAUAAAAGAAUAUGAA
rnacentral:lncRNA from 1 species